rnacentral:piRNA from 1 species
UGAGACCAUGUUUAAUCUGCCCUUCCAAU